rnacentral:rRNA from 1 species
GAGUAAUGUCUGGGAAACUGCCUGAUGGAGGGGGAUAACUACUGGAAACGGUAGCUAAUACCGCAUAACGUCGCAAGACCAAAGAGGGGGACCUUCGGGCCUCUUGCCAUCGGAUGUGCCCAGAUGGGAUUAGCUAGUAGGUGGGGUAACGGCUCACCUAGGCGACGAUCCCUAGCUGGUCUGAGAGGAUGACCAGCCACACUGGAACUGAGACACGGUCCAGACUCCUACGGGAGGCAGCAGUGGGGAAUAUUGCACAAUGGGCGCAAGCCUGAUGCAGCCAUGCCGCGUGUAUGAAGAAGGCCUUCGGGUUGUAAAGUACU